rnacentral:rRNA from 1 species
CGGCACAAGGGAGAGUAACGCGUGGAUAUCUGCCCUCGGCUCCAGAACAGCUACGGGAAACUGUAGGUAAUGCUGGAUAAUAUCUCCGGAUUAAAGGUGUGAUUCCGGCCGAGGAUGAGUCCGCGUCCUAUUAGAUUGUUGGUGGGGUAAUGGCCUACCAAGUCGAAGAUGGGUACCGGGUGUGAGAGCAUGGCCCGGCUCACUGGGACUGAGACACUGCCCAGACGUCUACGGACGGCUGCAGUCGAGAAUCUUCCGCAAUGGGCGCAAGCCUGACGGAGCGACGCCGCGUGCGGGAUGAAGGCCUUCGGGUUGUAAACCGCUGUCAGUUGGGAGGAAAUGCUAUGGGGUUCUCUCCAUAGUUUGACCGAUCUUCAGAGGAAGUACGGGCUAAGUACGUGCCAGCAGCCGCGGUAACACGUACCGUACGAACGUUAUUCGGAAUCACUGGGCUUAAAGAGUCCGUAGGCGGCUAUGUAGGUCAGGUGUGAAAUCCCACGGCUCAACCGUGGAACUGCGCUUGAAACCAUAUGGCUAGAGGGAGAUAGAGGAAAGCGGAACUGAUGGUGGAGCGGUGAAAUGCGUUGAUAUCAUCAGGAACACCGGUGGCGAAAGCGGCUUUCUGGGUCUCUUCUGACGCCGAGGGACGAAAGCUAGGGGAGCGAACGGGAUUAGAUACCCCGGUAGUCCUAGCCGUAAA